CCAAAGGCUCUUUUAAGAGCCACCCAAGAAAUCAUAAAAUGGUGU
rfam:Pteropus alecto contig104260, whole genome shotgun sequence.